UAACUAACCUUGUCUGAAAUAGAAGAGAGCUGCUGGUGAGGCAAUUCCUGAGUGUGAGCAGGGGUUGGGAUGGGCAGUUCCUGCUCCGGGCAGCAGGGCUGUGCAGAGACCUUGGAGAAGAAAAGCAGACAGGUGGGCUCUGCUGGACCCGCUGCCGUCCCAGCCGCUCUCCCCUGGAUUCAACAUCUCCUCGGAUCUGGUCGUGUAAUUCUGCCCCAGCCAAUACUCAGGUUCUACCUCAGGCAUUGCUGUGAGAUCACUGUGGCUUCUACUGCUCUCAGUCCAUCCCUAAAGCCAUAUUAAUUCAGAAUCUCAUAAACUCGGCGACGUUGGAAAAGCACUGGAAGAAGUGACAACGUGUAGUAAUUGUAUUUAUGGAUCUUAUCAAACCAAGGCAGAGAAUCCUGUGUUUGCAGUGCAAUUCUGGAGACACAAGUGAAACAGCAGAUGCAACA
ensembl:lncRNA